rnacentral:tRNA from 1 species
CUCAAUGUAGCAAAUUACAUGCAAUGGGUUUAAGCUCCAUAAAUAGAGUUUCUCUCUUUGAGA